CAUUUCAGCCAUAUGUGUGGCAGGGCUCAUCUGUCUGUACAACAUGUUCGUCCAAUCUUCUUUUUCCAGGCUUUUCUCUGUUGCUACCUUCAAGUGAAGUCUAAUGGUCUCUUUUAAUUUUAAAGUCUGGCUGUAUAUUGUUACUCAGUUUUUAAGGGCUUGCAUUACCUUCACUUUUAUUCUAGGUCUGCUGACCUCCAACCAUGUCUCUGUGGCAGUGUCCCGGUGCUGUUUUUGACUUGGAGCACGUGACUUUGAGUUGUUUGACCUGAGCUCGUCCAAGCAGAAAAUGAGCUAUCGCAGCUUUCACCAUCCCACUGGCUGUGCUGCAGUGUCUGUGUUUGCUGCUGAGAGGGUGAGCUGCGCUUAUGGGAGUAGGCGGCAGGCUGCCGUGAAGAGCUCCAUGAACCUCUUGACAAUAACCGAACCAGUCCUUAUGCUCGUUCAACAAUCAGCACCCACUCUUCCCAUGCUGUAGAUGAGAUGCUGCCACUGGCUGCUUCUUUGUUGACGUUGAUGGUGGGGCGGAAUGGAUCAUGGUUAGAGAUUGGAUAAAUUUAGUCUUUUGUUUCCACACAUCAGUCUAUCUCUUUUUUUUUUUGUACUUCAUCUGUUUCAGAUGCAAAUUAACCUUGUGACAUGUUUGAAGACUUUGCAUUAAGCAAAUAUCCUGUUUAGUGUCAGUGAGUCUCUGUAUGACUGUCGUAUCAUCUUGAUUAAAACUGUUUGUUGUCGUUU